CGAAGCGAUUCCCUGAGUAGUGGCGAGCGAAAGGGGAGCAGCCCAAACCGUGGGGAUUAAUCCUUGCGGGGUUAGGACUCAGACGUGGACUUAUAUUAGAUAGAAGAACGGUGUGGAAAAGCCGGCCAAAGAGGGUGAGAGUCCCGUAUUUGAAAUUUAAUAUAUACCUAUGAGUAUCCAGAGUAGCACCGGACACGUGAAACCUGGUGUGAAAGAGUGCAGACCACUGCAUAAGGCUAAAUACAAGGUGUCGACCGAUAGUGAACAAGUACCGUGAGGGAAAGGUGAAAAGGACCCCUGUUAGGGGAGUUAAAAGUACCUGAAACCUGUUGCCUACAAGCGGUCAGAGCCCCUUAGUGGGGUGAUGGCGUACCUUUUGCAUAAUGGGCCUAGGAGUCUAUGUCAGUUGCGAGCUUAAGCGUUUACGACGUGGAGGCGAAGCGAAAGCGAGUCUGAAUAGGGCGGUAGUAACUGGGAUAGAACCCGAAGCGGAGGCGAUCUAGCCAUGGCCAGGCUGAAGCAUCGGUAACACGAUGUGGAGGGCCGAACCCAUUAACCUUGAGAAGUUAAGGGAUGAGCUGUGGUUAGGAGUGAAAGGCUAAUCAAGCCCCGUAAUAGCUGGUUCUCUCCGAAAUAUAUUUAGGUAUAGCGUCAAAUGCUGAUUACCGGGGGUAAAGCACUGAAAAGGCUAGGGUUCACACCAGAAUACCGAACCUUAUCAAACUCUGAAUACCGGUGAGUGGAAUUUGGCAGUCAGUCAGUGGGGGAUAAGCUUCAUUGGCGAGAGGGAAACAUCCCAGACCAUCGAAUAAGGUCCCAAAGAUAGUGCUAAGUGGUAAGAAGGAUGUAAGUUUUCAUAGACAAUGGGGAUGUUGGCUUAGAGGCAGCCAUCAUUUAAAAAGUGCGUAAUAGCUUACCCAUCGAGAGAAUUUGCGCCGAAAAUGAUCGGGACUAAGUACUACACCGAAUUUGUGGAAUUAGUAAUAAUUGGUAGGAGAGCGUUCCAACAUCGUAGAAGGCGGAGCGGUGAGCGACGUUGGAGAGGUUGGAAGUGAGAAUCUAGGCAUGAGUAACGAAAAGCAUGGUUAAAAUCCAUGCCGCCGUAAGGAUAAGGUUUCCUGGGGAAGGUUCGUCCGCCCAGGGUUAGUCGGGAGCUAAGGCGAGGCCGUAAGGAGUAGUCGAUGCACAACGGGUUAAUAAUCCCGUACCGGCUUGGUAAUGUUUGAGUUGCAUAUUGACGGAUGAGUGGAUGCUGGCGAGGUGAUGAACGUCCUCGUCUAAGGUGUUGUAAGGCACUGAUGGGACUUUGAGGCUACGGCCGAGGGGGAUCAGCAAUAGCUAAUUCCAGGAAAAUUUAUGCAAUUAAUUAUCAGGUUGCCCGUACCGCAAACCGACACAGGUAUCCGGGAUGAGUAUUCUAAGGCGCGUGAGUUAAAUCUCUCCAAGGAACUCGGCAAAAUGGCCCCGUAUCUUCGGUAGAAGGGGUGCCAACGCGAGUUGGUCUCAGUAAAGAGGCCCAACCGACUGUUUAUCAAAAACACAGCUCUCUGCCAAGUCGCAAGACAACGUAUAGGGAGUGACAUGUGACCAAUGCGGAAAGGUGAAAACUGCUUGUGAAAGCUUGUGGUCUAAGCCCCCGUGAAUGUCGGCCGUAACUAUAACGGUCCUAAGGUAGCGAAAUUCCUUGUCGGGUAAGUUCCGACCUGCACGAAUCAUGUAACGAGUUGGGUGCUGUCUCAGGGAGAAGCUCAGUGAAAUUGUAGUCGCGGUUAAGAUGCCGCGUACCCGCAGAAGGACGGAAAGACCCUAUGAACCUUUACUGUAAACUGAUAUUGUCGUUUGAUUUUUAAUACGUAGGAUAGCCGGGAGGCUAUGAGUUGUCACUCCAGGGUGAUGAUGAGCCGCAAUGUGAAAUACCGGUUUUUAACUAUUAGGCGUCUAACCACAUACCGUGAGCCGGUUGUGGGACAGUGUUAGUGGGUCAGUUUGACUGGGGCGGUCUCCUCCUAAAAAGUAACGGAGGACUGCGAAGGUUCCCUCAGACCGGAUGGUAAUCGGUCGUCGAGGAUAUGGCUAAAAGGGAGCUUAACUGUGAGACCUACAAGUCGAGCAGAUGGGAAACCAGGCCCAAGUGAUCCGGCGAUAGCUCGUGGGAGCGUCGUCGCUUAUGGGACAAAAGGUACUCUAGGGAUAACAGGCUGAUUUCGCCCAAGCGUUCAUAGCGACGGCGAAGUUUGGCACCUCGAUGUCGGCUCAUCACAU
rnacentral:rRNA from 1 species